rnacentral:tRNA from 2 species
GCGCAUGUGGCGGAAUUGGCAGACGCACUAGACUUAGGAUCUAGCGCCUUUGGCGUGGGGGUUCAAGUCCCUCCAUGCGCA